GACGAACGCUGGCGGCGUGCUUAACACAUGCAAGUCGAACGGAAAGGCCCUGCUUUUGUGGGGUGCUCGAGUGGCGAACGGGUGAGUAACACGUGAGUAACCUGCCCUUGACUUUGGGAUAACUUCAGGAAACUGGGGCUAAUACCGGAUAGGAGCUCCUGCUGCAUGGUGGGGGUUGGAAAGUUUCGGCGGUUGGGGAUGGACUCGCGGCUUAUCAGCUUGUUGGUGGGGUAGUGGCUUACCAAGGCUUUGACGGGUAGCCGGCCUGAGAGGGUGACCGGCCACAUUGGGACUGAGAUACGGCCCAGACUCCUACGGGAGGCAGCAGUGGGGAAUAUUGCACAAUGGGCGGAAGCCUGUUGCAGCAACGCCGCGUGCGGGAUGACGGCCUUCGGGUUGUAAACCGCUUUCGCCUGUGACGAAGCGUGAGUGACGGUAAUGGGUAAAGAAGCACCGGCGAACUACGU
rnacentral:rRNA from 1 species